GGGUUUGGGCUUGAGUAUAGGGUGAGGAUUGGAGUUUGGGUUGGAUUUGUGGUAUAACAAUUUUAGGGGAGAUUAUGCCAAUUUUUUAUUUUUUAUUUGUUACUUGACCACAUUUGUUUUUUUUUUUUUUUUUUGUAGGGAAUCAUCGAGACUUUGACGGCUAAAGUGGAGGAUUAGGACGCUAUUGAAACAUAUCCUCUGCCAAUACCACCACAAUAGGCUUGUAUUAGGAUUUUAUUAUUGUACUUUGUUAAUUUAUGUGUACAUUUUGAAUAUUAUAUAUAUUUAUUGGAUAAUUUGAUCACUAUUUUUCAUAUGUAAU
rnacentral:lncRNA from 1 species